GCCCGGCUAGCUCAGUCGGUAGAGCAUGAGACUCUUAAUCUCAGGUUCGAGCCCCACGUUGGGCG